GACGAACGCUGGCGGCGUGCUUAACACAUGCAAGUCGAACGGAAAGGCCCUGCUUUUGUGGGGUGCUCGAGUGGCGAACGGGUGAGUAACACGUGAGUAACCUGCCCUUGACUUUGGGAUAACUUCAGGAAACUGGGGCUAAUACCGGAUAGGAGCUCCUGCUGCAUGGUGGGGGUUGGAAAGAUUCGGCGGUUGGGGAUGGACUCGCGGCUUAUCAGCUUGUUGGUGGGGUAGUGGCUUACCAAGGCUUUGACGGGUAGCCCGCCUGAGAGGGUGACCGGCCACCAUGGGACUGCGGUACGGCCCAGUCUCCUACGGGAGGCAGCGGUGGGGAAUAUUGCACAGUGGGCGGAAGCCUGAUGCAGCAACGCCGCGUGCGUGAUGACGGCCUUCGGGUUGUAAACCGCUUUCGCCUGUGACGAAGCGUGAGUGACGGUAAUUGGUAAAGAAGCACCGGCUAACUACGUG
rnacentral:rRNA from 1 species